rnacentral:rRNA from 1 species
UACGAAAGGUGCGAGCGUUAAUCGGAAUUACUGGGCGUAAAGCGUGCGUAGGCGGCUAUUUAAGUCGGAUGUGAAAGCCCCGGGCUCAACCUGGGAGGUGCAUCCGAUACUGGGUAGCUAGAGUGUAGUAGAGGGAGGUGGAAUUUCCGGUGUAGCGGUGAAAUGCGUAGAGAUGUGGAGGAACACCAAUGGCGAAGGCAGCCUCCUGGGCCGACACUGACGCUGAUGCACGAAAGCGUGGGGAGCAAACAGG